rnacentral:rRNA from 1 species
UACAGAGGUCUCAAGCGUUGUUCGGAUUCAUUGGGCGUAAAGGGCUCGUAGGCGGCCAACUAAGUCGGACGUGAAAUCCCCAGACUCAACCUGGGAACUGCGUCCGAUACUGGAUGGCUUGAAUCCGGGAGAGGGAUGCAGAAUUCCAGGUGUAGCGGUGAAAUGCGUAGAUAUCUGGAGGAAUACCGGUGGCGAAGGCGGCAUCCUGGACCGGCAUUGACGCUGAGGAGCGAAAGCCAGGGGAGCAAACGGG